rnacentral:rRNA from 1 species
AAUCAACGCUGGCGGCGUGCCUCAGACAUGCAAGUCGAACGAUUAAAGCUCUCUUCGGAGAGUGUAUAGAGUGGCGCACGGGUGAGUAACACGUAAGUAAUCUACCCUCGAGUGGGGAAUAACAACCGGAAACGGUUGCUAAUACCGCAUAAUGCGGCGGCACCGCAAGGUGACAGUUGUUAAAGAUUUAUCGCUUGAGGAGGAGCUUGCGGCAGAUUAGCUAGUUGGUAGGGUAACGGCUUACCAAGGCUACGAUCUGUAACCGGUCUAAGAGGACGGUCGGUCACACUGACACUGAAUAACGGGUCAGACUCCUACGGGAGGCAGCAGUCGGGAAUUUUGGGCAAUGGGCGAAAGCCUGACCCAGCAACGCCGCGUGAAGGAUGAAGUAUUUCGGUAUGUAAACUUCGAAAGAAUAGGAAGAAUUAAAUGACGGUACUAUUUAUAAGGUCCGGCUAACUACGUGCCAGCAGCCGCGGUAAU